rnacentral:rRNA from 1 species
AGCAAUCCCCCGGUAGGGUGGCGAACGGGUGAGUAAGACAUGGGAAUCUGUCCCGGAGAUGGGGAUAUCCUUCCGAAAGGAGGGUUAAUACCGAAUACCGUCCGGUGGACGAGAGUCCAUCGGGGAAAGGGAGGCCUCUGGCAACAUGCUUCCGCUCCGGGAGGAGCCCAUGGCCCAUCAGCUAGUUGGGAGGGUAACGGCCUACCAAGGCGAAGACGGGUAGCUGGUCUGAGAGGACGAUCAGCCACACUGGCACUGAGACACGGGCCAGACUCCUACGGGAGGCAGCAGUGAGGAAUUUUGCGCAAUGGGGGCAACCCUGACGCAGCAACGCCGCGUGUGGGAAGAAGGCUUUCGGGUUGUAAAUCACUUUUGUAAGGGACGAAGUCCCUUCGGCAAAUAACCGAGGGGGAUGACGGUACCUUGCGAAUAAGCCACGGCUAACUCUGUGCCAGCAGCCGCGGUAAGACAGGGGUGGCAAGCGUUGUUCGGAGUAACUGGGCGUAAAGGGUCUGUAGGUGGUUUUUCAAGUCUUUGGUAAAACGCCGUGGCUCAACCAUGGUUUGGCCAAGGAGACUGGGAGACUCGAGGCUGGGAGAGGGAAGCGGAAUUUCUGGUGUAGCGGUGAAAUGCGUAGAGAUCAGAAAGAAGGCCGGUGGCGAAGGCGGCUUCCUGGAACAGACCUGACACUGAGAGACGAAAGCGUGGGGAGCAAACAGGAUUAGAUACCCUGGUAGUCCACGCCCUAAACGAUGGGAACUAAGUGUGGGGAGCAAUCCCCGUGCCGCAGCUAACGCAAUAAGUUCCCCGCCUGGGGAGUACGGCCGCAAGGUGAAACUCAAAGAAUUGACGGGGCCCGCACAACCGUGGUGCAUGUGGUUAAUUCGACG